UGUGGUGGAUGCCUUGGCGAUCACAGGCGAUGAAGGACGCGGCAGUCUGCGAAAAGCCCCGGGGAGCUGACAACGAGCUUUGAUCCGGGGAUCUCCGAAUGAGGGAACUCCAAGCUUUAGCUUGAUCCAUGCGUGAAUACAUAGCGCAUGGAGGCGAACGCGGCGAACUGAAACAUCUCAGUAGCUGCAGGAAAAGAAAUCAACCGAGAUUCCGGAAGUAGCGGCGAGCGAAACCGGAACAGCCUGAAUUCGAUAUUGAGAAGAACACUGGAAGAGUCUGGAAAGGCUCGCCAUAGUGGGUGAUAGCCCCGUACGGGACGUUCAUCUCAAGGUACUGAGGAUUCGAAAAGUAGGUCGGGGCACGUGAAACCCUGGCUGAACAUGGGGGGACCAUCCUCCAAGGCUAAAUACUCGUGAUCGACCGAUAGCGUACUAGUACUGUGAAGGAAAGGUUAAAAGAACCCCGGGAGGGGAGUGAAAUAGAUUCUGAAACCGCAUGCAUACAAACAGUAGGAGCCCUUCGGGGUGACUGCGUACCUUUUGCAUAAUGGGUCAGCGACUUAUGUUAUGUGGCAAGCCUAACCGACUAGGGGAGGCGCAGCGAAAGCGAGUCCGAACAGGGCGAUUCAGUCGCAUGGCAUAGACCCGAAACCAGAUGAGCUAACCAUGGCCAGGCUGAAGGUGUGGUAACACACACUGGAGGGCCGAACCGACUAGUGUUGCAAAAUUAGCGGAUGAACUGUGGAUAGGGGUGAAAGGCUAAACAAAUCUGGAGAUAGCUGGUUCUCCCCGAAAACUAUUGAGGUAGUGCCUUGCGCAUGAGCUUCUGGGGGUAGAGCACUGUUAUAGCUAGGGGGACAUGGCGUCUUACCAAACUAUGGCAAACUCCGAAUACCAGAAAGCUUCGCGCAGGAGACAGAGCACCGGGUGCUAACGUCCGGACUCAAAAGGGAAUCAACCCAGACCGCCAGCUAAGGUCCCUAAUAUCAGCUAAGUGGAAAACGAAGUGGAAAGGCUAAAACAGUCAGGAAGUUGGCUUAGAAGCAGCCAUCCUUCAAAGAAAGCGUAAUAGCUCACUGAUCGAGUCCUUCCGCGCGGAAGAUGUAACGGGGCUAAGUUGAUAACCGAAGCUGCGGAUUCACACUUUGAGUGUGAGUGGUAGGGGAGCGUUCUGUAAGCCUGUGAAGGUGGAUCGUAAGGUCUGCUGGAGGUAUCAGAAGUGCGAAUGCUGACAUGAGUAACGAUAAAGCGGGUGAAAAGCCCGCUCGCCGCAAACCCAAGGUUUCCUGCUCUACGUUAAUCGGAGCAGGGUGAGUCGGUUCCUAAGGCCAGGCUGAGAAGCGUAGCUGAUGGAAAUCAGGUUAAUAUUCCUGAACCGGCGUUGAAUGCGAUGGGGUGACGGAGCAGCCAGAGUGGACCGGGUGUUGGAUGUCCCGGCUUCCGAGCGAUGGGUGCCUGCAGGCAAAUCCGCAGGCGUAUACCCAGGACGAAGGAUCGGGUCUUCUUUUGAAGACGAAGCCACUGGAAGCGCUUCCAGGAAAAACCUCUAAGCUUCAGUUCAACGGCGACCGUACCGUAAACCGACACAGGUGGGUGAGCUGAAUAUGCUCAGGCGCUUGAGAGAACUCGGGAGAAGGAACUCGGCAAAUUGACACCGUAACUUCGGAAGAAGGUGUGCCUUUGUAGCUUAACGGGAGAGAAACCCGAAGUGCGAAGAGGUCUCAGAGAAUCGGUGGCUGUAACUGUUUACUAAAAACACAGCGCUCUGCAAAGAUGAAAGUCGACGUAUAGGGCGUGAUGCCUGCCCGGUGCUGGAAGAUUAAUUGAUGGGGUGCAAGCUCCUGAUCGAAGUCCCAGUAAACGGCGGCCGUAACUAUAACGGUCCUAAGGUAGCGAAAUUCCUUGUCGGGCAAGUUCCGACCUGCACGAAUGGCAUAAUAAUGGCCACACUGUCUCCUCCCGAGACUCAGUGAAAUUGAAAUGUUUGUGAUGAUGCAAUCUCCCCGCGGCUAGACGGAAAGACCCCAUGAACCUUAACUGUAGCUUUGCAUUGGACUUUGAACCGAUCUGUGUAGGAUAGGCGGGAGGCUUUGAAGAAUGGACGCCAGUCA
rnacentral:rRNA from 1 species